CGGUGCCACGCGUGGCGCCCCUGUCCGGUUGCGCGAGAGUU
rnacentral:snoRNA from 1 species